CCUACGGGAGGCAGCAGUGGGGAAUAUUGCACAAUGGGCGAAAGCCUGAUGCAGCGACGCCGCGUGAGGGAUGACGGCCUUCGGGUUGUAAACCUCUUUCAGCAGGGAAGAAGCGAAAGUGACGGUACCUGCAGAAGAAGCGCCGGCUAACUACGUGCCAGCAGCCGCGGUAAUACGUAGGGCGCAAGCGUUGUCCGGAAUUAUUGGGCGUAAAGAGCUCGUAGGCGGCUUGUCACGUCGGAUGUGAAAGCCCGGGGCUUAACCCCGGGUCUGCAUUCGAUACGGGCUAGCUAGAGUGUGGUAGGGGAGAUCGGAAUUCCUGGUGUAGCGGUGAAAUGCGCAGAUAUCAGGAGGAACACCGGUGGCGAAGGCGGAUCUCUGGGCCAUUACUGACGCUGAGGAGCGAAAGCGUGGGGAGCGAACAGGAUUAGAUACCCUGGUAGUCCACGCCGUAAACGUUGGGAACUAGGUGUUGGCGACAUUCCACGUCGUCGGUGCCGCAGCUACGACAUUAACGUUACCCGUCCCGUCGGGUAGGUACGGCCGCCGACGGACGUAAACCGUUAAAACGGUAAGUUAGACGGCGUGAGACGUCGCCGACGGACGACGACGAGGGAGGUAGG
rnacentral:rRNA from 1 species